GACUCGUGGUUUCCCUGGGCACCUUAAGUUUUAGGGAAAACUACUUUACCUUCGAAGGAAACUUUCAGUCCGUCGUAUUCUUUGAACCAGUUAACACGUGCUCGUCUCGGAUUGUGUUAAGGAUAACAGGCAGGACACACAAUAAAGACACUAACUUCAAAAACUGUAACGACCUACAGAGCUCAAGCAAUCUGCUUUCAAACUCGGAUACAAACACACUCACAAAAGGCCCACCCACUCCUAAAAGCAAGCCGAUCAAGAAUAUGAACAACUCGUUUUGAUUUUUGUAUUCACCAUAGAAAGAAAAGAGUGCGUACGAGAAAAUGAAUCCUCCAUUUGUGUCGGCAAAACCAGAUCCUGGUGACUUUUCAACUGGUUCCCCAAUUCCAACACCCGUUGUGCCACCCCCAAAGCCACCUCCGCAGCCACCACUACAACCGCAACCAUUGAAUCGUCAGCUUUACGCCAAACCUAUAAUCGCACCACAAAUUCUCGAUCUUCAUAAUAAGCCAUCGCUACCGCAAGGACAAGGUAACCAAUACACCUUGAAAACUGGUGCAUUUCCACCGCAUACAGCGUCAAUUUAUUAUCAAUCUGGAACAAGACAAAUAAUGAGCCAAAAUGGACCGGGAACACAGCGGCCGCCCAAUCCUUCAAUGUCACCCCAAAACAUGCGCCCUAUGGGGCCACCGAUGCAAAGACCUGGAGCACCUCCUCCCACCCGACCUCCCGGUCCUCCUGGGCAGUAUAUCAUUCCUCCAAAUGUGAGACCUCAAAUGCCACCACCGCAACAGCAGCAGCAGCCUAACAUGCAACGACCGCCUUUGGCUCAAAAUAUGCGUCCAACCACGCCCCAACAAGUGAGACCCCCAAAUAUUAUGCCACAGAAUGUAAGGCCUCCAUUUUCCCCGCAAAACUCAACGGCAGCAGCUAAUCAACCAAUCAGACCAGGAGCUCCAAUGAUGAGGCCACCAAACAUAGGACAAUCUCAACCUCCUAUAGUUGGUUCUGUUGCUCAGCAAAAUAGACCUUCACCAAUUCCUCAGCAAAUAAUUAACAAUAGACCACCGUCGAUGCCAUUCAGAUCACCAGCACAAAGUGGCAACCUCGAUCAGUCAGGAUCUGAAAGAGACUCUCCCGAAUCGUUAAAUAGGAUGCAAUCAGAUUUGAGCUUUGGUAAAACUGAUAGUCCUAGAAGCAGUUAUUUGUCUACAGAUGAUGAUGAUGACGUGGUUAUAGGAAAAAUCACUCCAAUGGCAUCAUCGCGAUCUCCCGAUGAUCAGUUGAGCCCAACAUCGAAGACAUCGGCACCUUUCAACAGAUCUGACAGUCAAAUGUCCAUACCAUCAAGGCCACCAUCCGGACUUGGAAACUACAUGAAGCCUUCGGACAGCUUAAGAAUCGCACAAUCGCCUCAACCACUUCAAUCGAACGAAAUUGUAUAUAAAGAGAAGCAUAUGAUUUCUGCAGACAAACCGCUGGACGGUUUGAGCUACUCAGAAAAAACUCUCGACGAACAGUCGAAGCCAUCAAGCCGCGUUCCUUCGACCGACAACAUCAAUCGACCUAGCAAGCCACAGGACUUGGGGUCAUCACGUCCACUGGCUUCAACAACAGUGGGGAAACCCCGGCAAACGGUACCAACGACACCCGGUGGAACCGAACGAGUCACGUUCGUUUUACCAGAUGAAACGAACGGCAGUCGAAACUCGGAACCCUAUCGGAAGACCCCCCUUCCGCCCCAUGCUCUUGAAAAGCCCGACGUGGAAACUCGUGGUCGUAGCCCUUUCAAGAGCAACCUUUCCAUGGAUAGAGAUCAUCCAUCAGCGGAUAAUAAAGGUGAUAAUGACAGUGGAGUGGACGAAUCAACGCAGGAAAAGGAUCGAAAUGGUCCAAAUUCUCCAGGAUCUCCACUGAAAUCACCUACUAAGAUUCCAUCAUUGCGGAGGCCAGAGAGCAUAACUCCCCAAACAAGAUCGAGAAGCACUUCGAAGCAACGUCUUACUGCUAAAACACCAGAAACUCCAACCGAACCAUUAAUUAAAAAAGUACCAAUGAAUAAGAUCCAAGUCGGUGCAGCUCCUUCGCCGAAUUUGAAGGUGGUUAGAUCUAAGAUAGGAUCGUUAGAAAAUGCAACGCACAAACCAGGCGGUGGACACGUUAAAAUAGAAACCAAGAAAUUAGACAUCAAGGCAGCUCCCAGAAUCGAAGCGAAAAACGAUGCUUACGUUCCCAAAGGAGGCGAUAAAAAGAUUGUAACCACGAAGCUGACAUGGAAUGCGAAGCCCAAGAUAGGCUCGCUAGAAAACGCCAGCCACAGACCAGGUGGAGGUGACAAAAAGAUUGAAACGCUUAAAAUGGACUUCAAAGACCGUGCCAGGCCGAAGAUUGGCUCCAAAGACAACCUGGGAUACCAACCGGGAGGUGGCGAUGUCAAGCCUGGAAGUGCCAUCAUUGUUGAGCAAAAAAGAAGAGCUAUUGUCAACCAAAAGUUGGACAUCAAAGCCGAGAGCAAGGUGGGCUCGCUGGAGAACAUCAAACAUAAACCGGGCGGAGGCGAUAAGAAAAUUUUCGAUGACAAGGACUAUUUAAAGCAAAUUGACCACCCGGUGGGCCUAACGCCACCAUCACAGGAUUAUUUGUACAAGUUCUAUUGAUUAUACAACAAAUCCGAACCAUGUAUAGCCAGGUAGAAGAAAGUUCAACAAAUAGUCCCUAAAAUACGUAAUGAUUUAAGGUUUUUACUGUGCAAUUAGUCCAACACCGGACGAUGACAGCGAUUAUGGGAACAUCGCAUCAGCAGCAGUUGCACAGCUUAACACUUCAAUCACUGCUACCAAAGUAGAAUAAAUCGAACUGCAGUCACGAUUUGCUUUGGAUAAACUUUGCGAUUUACACAUUUACUCACAGAUUUGUUUUUUUAUGAUUCCACUAAUCGCGAUUAGCUAGAAGUAGCUUAUUUUAGUUAGAGCGUGUAAUUUUUUGUAGGUAUUUAACUUUUGUACUAACAUACACAAUAAGCUAGUAACUCACGCCUGAUAUUUAAAAAGUACGUACAAAAUAUAAGCAAAUCAUAUAGAACGAGUAUCUUACCCAGAGCCAUUAUUUAUCACACUCUAAAUAUACAGUUACACUUCUUGAGCACUUCUUCGCAAUAAUUUUCGAUUUUCUUGAAUAAAAAGUUAAUAUUUAGCUAAUUUUUGUUUCUAUACAAACACUUAGUGAAGAAAAUUUUUUAUACCGUUUCCUAUUGGUCAUUUGCUAAGAUCACUGCUACAUUUACGACAUUCAUAUUGAAUAAUGUUUUUCAUAUGUUAUUUGUUGAGUUUUAUUUUACUGUAAAAUAUCCCUGUUAACUAGAAAAAAUGUUAAUUGUUUUCGUUUACGAUUGUCAGACUUUUUAUUUCAUCCUUAUUUCUUCUUUAUUUCGUUUUAGUCGCCGGUUCCUGAUUUUGAUAAAAAUUCGUACUAUUAAAUAAGAAUGACCCUUACAGAUCCUGCGAUAAGAGCAAAUCAAUGAUGCCAACAACUGAAAGCAUAAUUUAUAUAUCAAAUAAAUACAAUGUAGUUCAAACUCGGCUCUGUUAAUUAGUUCAUAAGUUUACGUUGUAUUAUAAUUGGACCAUUUUUAGAAAAGACAUUGGCUGUAGCUGCUUCGCACCGAACGAUACUGCAGUACUAUCUUUGAAUCAAUGUAGCGAUAUCGAAGAAAAAACGCUGUUAAAAAUAUAACACCUGUUUUAUUUAUUUUUUCGGUUAUUAAAAUUAUUUCCAAAUUAUACCAUCUUGGGUAGAGUACCUUCUAGUCAAAUAUUGAUUUUUGAUGCAAGUUUAGAGCAGAAAUCAAGCACAUUUGUUUAACAUUAUCCUUUCAACUGGAACAUUGUAUUUUAUAAAUAUAAUUCAAUUGAAAGCAAAUUUGUCAUCACUACACUGUUUUCGAAUAAUUCAAAAUAUUUAAAAGUAAAUAAAAUACCAUUGAUUGAUCAAUCUAUUUGGCCCAAAUGGAAAACUAGUAUCAAGGUUACAAACAUAACUCACUUCUUUCAACAAAUGUUACUACCAACUGAGCUACCACCAUUGAGCAUAAAAUUGAAAAAAAAGAAUGGAUGUACCAUUUAUUUAGUCGUAAAGAAUGAGCGAGAAAUAUAAUAUUAAAAAAUA